rnacentral:rRNA from 1 species
UACGUAGGGUCCGAGCGUUGUCCGGAAUUACUGGGCGUAAAGCGCGCGCAGGCGGCCUUUUAAGUCUGACGGUGAAAUGCCGGGGCUCAACCCCCGUGCCCGCCGGAGAUACUGGGAGGCUGGAGACGAGUAGAGGCAAGCGGAAUUCCAGGUGUAGCGGUGAAAUGCGUAGAUAUCUGGAGGAACACCGGUGGCGAAGGCGGCAUCCUGGACCGGCAUUGACGCUGAGGCGCGAAAGCCAGGGGAGCAAAGCGGG